rnacentral:pre_miRNA from 1 species
GACUAUAGGUCAAGUGAUGAGCUCGGUAGAAUCACAGGUAUGUUAGGACUAUAGGUCAAGUGAAAUAGUCCUAACAUACCUGUGAUUCUACCGAGCUCAUCACUUGACCUAUAGUC